rnacentral:snRNA from 1 species
GUGCUUACUUUGGCAGCACACAUCUUAAAAGUGGAACAAUAUAGAAAAGAUCCCCUGCACAAAGGUGACACACAAAUUCAUAAAGCAUUCCACAUUUCU